rnacentral:rRNA from 7 species
CCACGCGUACCCAUCCCGAACACGACCGUUAAGCCCUCCAGCGCCGAUGGUACUUGGACCGAAGGGUCCUGGGAGAGUAGGACGUUGCCAAGC